AAUACAUGUAAUUUGAAUUGUAUAGGGAGAGAGGGUCUCUCUAUAUUUUGGCUGUUAUCUUCACAUUGGAUUACAUUCUGCUGCUAGUCUGCAUUGCAUUUGCAUGGUGACAUCUGAAUAGUUAAUACAAUAGUAAUUGUAUAUUUCUUUAACCUCAUUUUGUGUUUGUUUCAGAUCAGGUCAGCUUUGUCAUUGACACAACAGAGUGGCAGCUGACAGACCUUGUUGAAAGAUUUCAAGAGGAGGGGACUGAUGAGGAGAGUUUUCUUCUUUUAGAUGAGGCUACCAUCAACAGUUGAUCCCAAGAGCUGGCCCUGGGCUGAA